AUUGAACGCUGGCGGAAUGCUUUACACAUGCAAGUCGAACGGUAGAGGGGGCAACCCCUUGAGAGUGGCGAACGGGUGAGUAAUAUAUCGGAACGUGCCCAGUCGUGGGGAUAACGUAGCGAAAGUUACGCUAAUACCGCAUACGAUCUAAGGAUGAAAGCGGGGGAUCGCAAGACCUCGCGCGAUUGGAGCGGCCGAUAUCAGAUUAGGUAGUUGGUGAGGUAAAGGCUCACCAAGCCGACGAUCUGUAGCUGGUCUGAGAGGACGACCAGCCACACUGGGACUGAGACACGGCCCAGACUCCUACGGGAGGCAGCAGUGGGGAAUUUUGGACAAUGGACGCAAGUCUGAUCCAGCCAUUCCGCGUGCAGGAUGAAGGCCCUCGGGUUGUAAACUGCUUUUGUACGGAACGAAAGGUUUCUAUUAAUACUAGGAGCUCAUGACGGUACCGUAAGAAUAAGCACCGGCUAACUACGUGCCAGCAGCCGCGGUAAAGU
rnacentral:rRNA from 1 species